CAGUAGCCGCGGGAAUACGAAGGGUGCAAGCGUUACUCGGAAUGACUGGGCGUAAAGGGCGCGUAGGCGGCGAGGCCAGUCAGGCGUGAAAUCCCCGGGCUCAACCUGGGAACUGCGCUUGAUACUGCUUUGCUCGAGACCGGGAGAGGAUGGCGGAAUACCCAGUGUAGAGGUGAAAUUCGUAGAUAUUGGGUAGAACACCGGUGGCGAAGGCGGCCAUCUGGACCGGAUCUGACGCUGAGGCGCGAAAGCGUGGGGAGCAAACAGGAUUAGAUACCCGGGUAGUCCCUGUCUCUUAUAC
rnacentral:rRNA from 1 species